CAUAUCAACUUUCGAUGCCAUUAAGUGCACCUACCAUGGUGACCACGGGUAACGGGGAAUAAGGGUUCGAUUCAG